AACGAACGCUGGCGGCAUGCCUAAUACAUGCAAGUAGAACGAGACCUUCGGGUCUAGUGGCGCACGGGUGCGUAACGCGUGGGAACUUGCCCUUAGGUUCGGAAUCACUCCCCGAAAGGGGUGUUAAUACCGGAUAAUGUCUUCGGACCAAAGAUUUAUCGUCUUGGGAGUGGCCCGCGGUGGAUUAGCUAGUUGGUAUGGUAAAAGCCUGUCAAGGCUACGAUCCAUAGCUGGUCUGAGAGGAUGACCAGGCACACUGGGGCUGAGAGACGGCCCAGACUCCCGGCAGAGGCAGGAAUGGGGAAUGAUCAACGAUGGGCGAGAGCCUAAUCCAGCCAUACCGCGUAGAUGGUGUGUGACUGAAGAUUGAGAGACUCUGUUGCCCGUGAUGAUAGUGACAGUACCGUGAGAAUAAGCUCCGGCUAACUCCGUG
rnacentral:rRNA from 1 species